AGUGAACGCUGGCGGUAGGCCUAACACAUGCAAGUCGAACGGCAGCACAGUAAGAGCUUGCUCUUACGGGUGGCGAGUGGCGGACGGGUGAGGAAUACAUCGGAAUCUACUUUUUCGUGGGGGAUAACGUAGGGAAACUUACGCUAAUACCGCAUACGACCUACGGGUGAAAGCAGGGGAUCUUCGGACCUUGCGCGAUUGAAUGAGCCGAUGUCGGAUUAGCUAGUUGGCGGGGUAAAGGCCCACCAAGGCGACGAUCCGUAGCUGGUCUGAGAGGAUGAUCAGCCACACUGGAACUGAGACACGGUCCAGACUCCUACAGGAGGCAGCAGUGGGGAAUAUUGGACAAUGGGCGCAAGCCUGAUCCAGCCAUACCGCGUGGGUGAAGAAGGCCUUCGGGUUGUAAAGCCCUUUUGUUGGGAAAGAAAAGCAGCAGGUUAAUACCCCGCUGUUCUGACGGUACCCAAAGAAUAAGCACCGGCUAACUUCAUG
rnacentral:rRNA from 1 species